UUAAUUGAAACCAAAUAGAGGUUUAUCACUGUUAAUGAUAAAAUUGAGAAAGUAUCUCCGAUUAAA
rnacentral:tRNA from 1 species